UUAGAGAUGCCGGAUACUUCAACGGGAGUCACGAGCAUCAGUGUCUGUUGAGAUACUGCUUUGGUGAUGUUAUUCAGAAGGACUUGGAUGAGUGUGUGAGACUGUGGAACAGUCACAGGAUUCGCCCCUCCAGAACAGCAUCAUGUCCAGGAGGAGUGCCCAAUGAACUCUACUACUUACCUCACAGGUUUGGCUCCAGAGACUGUGGAUUUAAAAUUGAACAGGCUGAACUGGAUGCCUUUCCUGAGGCUCACCUGUUAAGAGCUUCAUGUGGGGACCCAAACAUGCAGGAGUACUUGGACUUUGCCAUGAAGCACAAUCAAUUACAGAAGCCAGAGUGCUGGCAGUCUGCAACUGAACUGUAUCUGAAACUAAAAGAAAUUGCUCAGCUAUGAAUUGAAAUUGAUCAAAAAGGGAGGUUUAUUGUAAUGGUAGAACAUAGUGUCUGAAUCUGUCACCCACAGCUUCAUUAUUUUAAAUUGGGAAAUAAAUGAAUAAAAAAUAAUGUAAUGAGUAAUGUUUAUUUAUUACAUUACAUUUUUGUAUUACAGAAAACAGAAUCUCUUGAAAUACUUGUUUGCCUUAUUUUAUCUAAAACAGCGAUUCAUAAACAGACCACAGUUUGAGCUAACACAGUUUGGAGCUAAAAUAACUGUCAAAAUGCUGAGAAAACUCACA